UAACGCGUGGAUAACCUGCCUCACACAGGGGGAUAACAGUUAGAAAUGACUGCUAAUACCGCAUAAGCGCACAGUCUCGCAUGGGACAGUGUGAAAAACUGAGGUGGUGUGAGAUGGAUCCGCGUCUGAUUAGGCAGUUGGCGGGGUAACGGCCCACCAAACCGACGAUCAGUAGCCGGCCUGAGAGGGUGAACGGCCACAUUGGGACUGAGACACGGCCCAAACUCCUACGGAAGGCAGCAG
rnacentral:rRNA from 1 species